rnacentral:lncRNA from 1 species
CGUAUUUUUCUUGCUUCCCAUUUUCUUUUCUUCUAACCAAACAGAUGAUAAAAAUGUGCUAUGAAAACCUAAUUUAUUUUAUUAUACCGGCUAAUUCACCCUCAAAAAGACUAUGUCGGACUUUGAUUUUUCAAUUAUUUACAUGGGUUGAUUUAUGGAGUCAACAUAGCUAUUUCACAACCACUUGCAUGUACUAUCAAUUUUCUC